GUUCUCAUUCAGCAGCACAUACUAAAAUUGGAACGAUACAGAGAAGAUUAGCAUGGCCCCUGCACAAGGAUGACAUGCAAAUUCUUGAAGCGUUCCAUAUUUUU